AAGACCGUACUUUUUAGGAUCAUUUCUAUAGUACGCGUCCCGUCUUUGUUACCCAACAAAGGCAACCUCGACAGCCACGGUGAUGAACCAGAGCGAUCUCUUCUGAGCGGGAAGCGUGUCUUGGAUUUUGCCUUCAUUGGCAAUUUAUCCUUGACAAUUGAUGACCGUUCCUUACCCUCACUUGUUGGGGGUUUGGAGGAAGAGAUCGUAUUCAGAGUGGU
rnacentral:snoRNA from 1 species